rnacentral:rRNA from 1 species
AACGUAGGACACAAGCGUUAUCCGGAGUUACUGGGCGUAAAGGGCGCGUAGGCGGCCUUCUAAGUCGAACGUGAAAUCCCCGGGCUCAACCCGGGAACUGCGUCCGAUACUGGAAGGCUUGAAUCCGGGAGAGGGAUGCGGAAUUCCAGGUGUAGCGGUGAAAUGCGUAGAUAUCUGGAGGAACACCGGUGGCGAAGGCGGCAUCCUGGACCGGUAUUGACGCUGAGGCGCGAAAGCCAGGGGAGCAAACGGG